UACAGAGGUGGCAAGCGUUGUUCGGAAUUACUGGGCGUAAAGGGCGCGUAGGCGGCCCACUAAGUCAGACGUGAAAUCCCCCGGCUUAACCUGGGAACUGCGUCUGAUACUGGAGGGCUUGAGUAUGGGAGAGGGAUGUAGAAUUCCAGGUGUAGCGGUGAAAUGCGUAGAUAUCUGGAGGAAUACCGGUGGCGAAGGCGGCACCCUGGACCACAACUGACGCUGAGGCACGAAAGCGUGGGGAGCAAACGGG
rnacentral:rRNA from 1 species